rnacentral:sRNA from 1 species
AUGGCGGGAAAUUUUUUUUUCGAAAAUUUUUGGCGGGAAAAUUUUGGUGGGAAAAUUUUGGCGGGAAAUUUUUUUUUCGAAAAUUUUUGGCGGGAAAAUUUUGGCGGGAAAUUUGAUUUUGGAAUAUUUUAGGCGAAAAAUAUUAAUAUUUCAUUUUGUUAACCUAAAUCAAUUUACAAAUAGGGGUAAAAUGGUCAUUAAAAAUAUAAAUAGGGUAUAAAUGAAAAUGGUAAAUAGAAAAAGGGUAGAACUGAAAAGGGGUAGUGUGAAAAGGGCAUUAGAAAGAAUUUUUCUAAAGGGAAAGUUUCCCGAUUAAUCUCUGAUUUUAAUCCGAUUUUCUGAUUAAUCGCUAGGUCCAUAUCGAGCGUCCAAUUAACGCAUAGCCACUUUUUGAACAAGGGUCCCAAUGUGGUUUUUGUCAUCUAUUAGCUAUUUUAGUUCUCAUGUAAAAUAAGUAUGAAUAAUAUAUAUAACAAGUAGGUAACAUUAUC